rnacentral:tRNA from 2 species
GCUCUAAUGGGGUAAUGGCAACCCUCCACUUUCACACAGUGGCGCCCCAAGUUCGAUUCUUGGUUGGAGCA